GGAAAAGAAAUCAACCGAGAUUCCGAAAGUAGCGGCGAGCGAAAUUGGACUAGCCCUUAAGCUUUACACGCGUUAGACGAACAGCCUGGAAAGGCCGACGAUACAGGGUGAUAGUCCCGUAGUUGACGACGUGUGUUCAGUGAAAUCGAGUAGGGCGGGACACGUGAUAUCCUGUCUGAAUAUGGGGGGACCAUCCUCCAAGGCUAAAUACUACUGACUGACCGAUAGUGAACCAGUACCGUGAGGGAAAGGCGAAAAGAACCCCUGUGAGGGGAGUGAAAUAGAACCUGAAACCGUGUACGUACAAGCAGUAGGAGCACCUUCGUGGUGUGACUGCGUACCUUUUGUAUAAUGGGUCAGCGACUUAUAUUCAGUGGCAAGGUUAACCAUCUAGGGGAGCCGUAGGGAAACCGAGUCUUAACUGGGCGUUCAGUCUCUGGAUAUAGACCCGAAACCAGGUGAUCUAGCCAUGGGCAGGUUGAAGGUUGAGUAACAUCAACUGGAGGACCGAACCGACUAAUGUUGAAAAAUUAGCGGAUGACUUGUGGCUAGGGGUGAAAGGCCAAUCAAACCUGGAGAUAGCUGGUUCUCCCCGAAAGCUAUUUAGGUAGCGCCUCGGACGAAUACUACUGGGGGUAGAGCACUGUUAAGGCUAGGGGGUCAUCCCGACUUACCAACCCUUUGCAAACUCCGAAUACCAGUAAGUACUAUCCGGGAGACACACGGCGGGUGCUAACGUCCGUCGUGGAGAGGGAAACAACCCAGACCGCCAGCUAAGGUCCCAAAUUACUACUAAGUGGGAAACGAUGUGGGAAGGCUCAGACAGCCAGGAUGUUGGCUUAGAAGCAGCCAUCAUUUAAAGAAAGCGUAAUAGCUCACUGGUCGAGUCGGCCUGCGCGGAAGAUGUAACGGGGCUAAGUA
rnacentral:rRNA from 1 species